GCAUAUCAAUAAGCCGGAGGGAAAAGAAACCAACAGGGGAUUGCCCCUAGUAACGGCGAGUGAAGCGGCAACAGCUCAAAUUUGAAAAUCUGGCGUCUUCGGCGUCCGAGUUGUAAUUUGCAGAGGGCGCUUUGGCAUUGGCAGCGGUCCAAGUUCCUUGGAACAGGACGUCACAGAGGGUGAGAAUCCCGUACGUGGUCGCUAGCCUUUACCGUGUAAAGCCCCUUCGACGAGUCGAGUUGUUUGGGAAUGCAGCUCUAAAUGGGAGGUAAAUUUCUUCUAAAGCUAAAUACUGGCCAGAGACCGAUAGCGCACAAGUAGAGUGAUCGAAAGAUGAAAAGCACUUUGGAAAGAGAGUUAAAAAGCACGUGAAAUUGUUGAAAGGGAAGCGCUUGCAGCCAGACUUGCCUGUAGUUGCUCAUCCGGGUUUCUACCCGGUGCACUCUUCUAUAGGCAGGCCAGCAUCAGUUUGGGCGGUUGGAUAAAGGUCUCUGUCAUGUACCUCUCUUCGGGGAGAACUUAUAGGGGAGACGACAUGCAACCAGCCUGGACUGAGGUCCGCGCAUCUGCUAGGAUGCUGGCGUAAUGGCUGUAAGCGGCCCGUCUUGAAACACGGACCAAGGAGUCUAACAUCUAUGCGAGUGUUUGGGUGUCAAGCCCGAGCGCGUAAUGAAAGUGAACGGAGGUGGGAACCUUUCGGGGUGCACCAUCGACCGAUCCUGAUGUCUUCGGAUGGAUUUGAGUAAGAGCAUAGCUGUUGGGACCCGAAAGAUGGUGAACUAUGCUUGAAUAGGGUGAAGCCAGAGGAAACUCUGGUGGAGGCUCGCAGCGGUUCUGACGUGCAAAUCGAUCGUCAAAUUUGGGCAUAGGGGCGAAAGACUAAUCGAACUAUCUAGUAGCUGGGUUCUGCGAAG
rnacentral:rRNA from 1 species